rnacentral:tRNA from 1 species
GCCUCCGUAGUUCAACUUGGAUAGAAUGCGGGCUUGCGGAGCCUGAGAUUUGGGUUCAAAUCCCGACGGAGGCG